AACGCAAGUUGCGCUUCCGGGUAACCCGGGAGCAUGCCUCUUUCAGUGUCAUUUCACACUACAAGCACAUCUGUGUUUGUGUCUUGCAUUUCUCGGGCGCUCAGGCGCGCGAGAUCUGUGAAAUCGCAUGCACCGGCUCGAACGUGCACGACUAGGCUUGCUUGAUGUCGGCCUUCAACUUCUUGGACAGUGUUUUUCAUUGUCAUGUAGAAUGUGGCUCAUCAUUGGCGACGACCUGGUACUACAAACGUGUCGAUCACUUUUUACGAGCUGUGUUGUCGUUGUACCGUCUCGCACUUUACAGAGAGAGACAAACAUCAAAACAACAACGACCUGAAAGAGGUAAGACUACCCGCUUGACUUAA
rnacentral:misc_RNA from 1 species